UGAGGAAUAUUGCACAAUGGGGGGAACCCUGAUGCAGCAACGCCGCGUGGAGGAUGACGCAUUUCGGUGUGUAAACUCCUUUUAUAUGUCAAGAAAAUGACGGUAGCAUAUGAAUAAGCACCGGCUAACUCCGUGCCAGCAGCCGCGGUAAUACGGAGGGUGCAAGCGUUACUCGGAAUCACUGGGCGUAAAGGACGCGUAGGCUGUUUAGCAAGUCAGAUGUGAAAUCCAAUGGCUCAACCAUUGAACUGCAUUUGAAACUGCUAGACUAGAGUAUGGGAGGGGGAGAUGGAAUUAGUGGUGUAGGGGUAAAAUCCGUAGAUAUCACUAGGAAUACCUAAAGCGAAGGC
rnacentral:rRNA from 1 species